rnacentral:sRNA from 1 species
UUUUAAAUUUGUCCGGUUUUGUAAUUACACCAAAUAUUCGUUCGCCAAAGGGGUUAAAUUUGCGAAUUUGUUAAAGGAUUUCUUAAUUGGCCGCGUUAUUCGUAACCGAAAUAACCGUUAAAUAAAUAAUACGAGAUUGGGAAAUGUAAUAAUUAGUAAUUUUUUUUAUUAUUUUAACGUUAUUAUUUGAAACACCUUUGGUAAAAAUUUAAAUCAGGCCUGGAAUAUUAACCAGGGUUAGCUGAGGACGGUUCGGGCCAUUAAUAUUAAUAUUAAGCGUAUUUUUGGUAAAGGCGCUGGUAAAUAAUGCGUUAUCAGAUUUUGAAAUCCCCAGUACUGUUAUAACCGCAUUAAUAACAAUGGGCAAAUUAGCAAAAAUAAUAAUAAAUUGGGAAAAGGCUUUAAUAUUUUAUUUUUUAUAUUUAGGGCGAUUGUUGUCUGGAACAAUUUUAACAGUGAUUUUGUCAACGGUCUCGCGGCGGAAACUAAUUUUAAUGGCAAACCUGGUGCAAAGGUUAUCGUUUUUGGGGAAAGGAAUCUUAAUUAGGGUUUCCAGCACGGAAUUUUUCCCAGCAAAUUAAUUUCCACAAACGACGAUUUAAAAUAGGGAUAAAAUAUUAUCGAAACCAUAUUUUGGUAUAUAAUUAAUGGUGUCGAGAAGAAUUCGCUGUUCCGUUGUUUGGAACUUUUCCAAAAUGGAUUUAUAAAAUAAUUUGUUAAAAGAAAAGAAAUUAUCGGGAACGCCCAUAUUGGCUAACAGGAAAUUGUAAAUUUGAAAAACGAAUUUGAGGGAAAUAGGGGACGGGAUAAUAAUAUUUGAGAAAAAAAUCAAAGGAUUAACAGCGAAAAUAUAACCUCUAUUUAAACUUUUAAAUUAUUGUCGAAAGCCAAAAUCGUGUUGUAAAAUAAAAACAUAACAUUUUUUAACCGUUAAAUUUUUCGUUUUUUAUCGUUGGAAUAAAAACAAGGAUCUUUAAGACCCUCUUCCUUUAAUAUUAUUAAAUGGCAUUUAUUUUUAAAUUGCCGGACCUAUAAUUAACCGCUAUACCACGUUAUAAAACAGGGCGGCCAAUUACAUUAGCUGGCCUAUCGGAAAUUUUCAAUUUAAAAAGUAAUUUUCCCAGUAAAAUUACCAUUUCUCAAUUAUACGGGAGGCCCUCCUUUUUUGCGCCUCCGUUUCCGCCAGGUUAAACAUAUUUCCUCGUUUAAUACCAACAAAAUCUGGCAAAAAAAAAAUAAAUUUCCAUUUUUUUUAAAACCAGUAGAAAAACGUAAAUUAUAUAUAUAUUUGGUUAAUUAGUUUAAAUUGCUUUUUUAAAACGUUAGGCUAAUUAAAAAAGCCGUUAUAUUAUUUAAUAUUGGAAAUUAUGGAAGUUUUUUAACCCAACAUAUGGAAAACCUGUUGCAUAGUCGGCCGCAUAUUAGGUAAAGAAACGAUUUCCAUUGCCAGGUAUUUUGAAGGCUUUUAAUUAAUUGUCCAUAUCCGACAAAAUGCAAUGUGGAAGGCCCACCAUCCUUUUAUUAACUAAAUUAACAGUUCUGGAAACGGGCGAUCCAGCUACAAAUUAAUAUAUAUAAGAGGCCCUCCACCGUUUAUUAAUGGGGUUAAAAUUAAAGUAUUUGCCAGAGUAUUUGUAAAAUACAAAUCUCGAUUUUUGGGGAUAUGUUUGUCAGAUUUGGAAUUUUUAAUUUGUAUUAUUGGAAUCGGCCGUAUUGGGUUUGCUCACGCCCUAAAUAACGCAUUAUUAGUGAAGUUGAAAAUUAUUAAUUUUUUAAUUAAAAAUGCCACUAUUAUAUAGGAGGCCCUCCAUAUGCAGCGCCUAGGAAAAAUGCUCUGUUACGGGCCAUUAACUAAGAUGCCUGUUUAUUAGAAAUGUCGGAAACCCUCGGUUAUAUACCCAGAUAUUGUUAAUUUUAUAUAAAAGGCCUGCUAUUCUCCUGCCAUUAUAUUAUAUAAAUAAUGGUUUUGGUGGUUAUUAUUUAUACGAUUACGAAAAAACAUUUGGGAUGCAGGAGGUAUCGAUUAAUACGUUGUAUUAUCCCCUAUCGCUUCGCAAAAAAUACCCAAUUAUAAAUUAUUAGUUUUAAAAAUGGAGGGCCUUUUGCAUAAAAGGGAUUCCUAUUUUAACUGGCUGGUUAGUAAUUUAACACAUUAUAUAUUAAAUUAUAUAUGGGUAUAAUAUAUAGGUUUUGUAGCAAAUACGGAAAUAUAUGGGCGCAGUUAUAAUAACCGUUUCCAUGUUAUUACCACAUUACCGCCUGUUCGCGAGCAUCGAUUUGCGCUUUUCCCGCAUAAAAAAAAUACGUUUAGCAACUUUCUCAAACCUAUAAGUUAUAUAUCGUAUAUUUCUAUCGUUUCGCGCGAAUAAAUUGUAAUAUUUGGACCUUAAAAUCACCAGACCCUAACCUUAACCCCUGACCAACGACCCACCAGGGUAAUACCUAACGUAUAUUAACGUAUACGUACAGUUAAAUUUAGUGGGUAGGAGAGCCAUAUAUUGGUAUAGGCCGUGCUAUUUGUGCUAAAACGCGUGUUGGAGCUUUUAUCGUGUUUUUAACGCUAAUUUAA